AGCCCCGUAAGCGAAAUCCAAAGAAGGCCUAUCAGUAUCCUGAGUAGGGCGGGACACGUGAAAUCCCGUUUGAAUCCGCGAGGACCAUCUCGCAAGGCUAAAUACUAACCAGUGACCGAUAGUGAACCAGUACCGUGAGGGAAAGGUGAAAAGAACCCCGGGAGGGGAGUGAAAGAGAACCUGAAACCGUGUGCCUACAAGUAGUCAGAGCCCGUUAACGGGUAAUGGCGUGCCUUUUGUAGAAUGAACCGGCGAGUUGCGUUAGUCAGCAAGGUUAAGUCAGAAAAGAC
rnacentral:rRNA from 1 species